rnacentral:rRNA from 1 species
GGCUGCCUACGGGACGCAGCAGUGAGGAAUAUUGGUCAAUGGGCGAGAGCCUGAACCAGCCAAGUCGCGUGAGGGAGUACUGCCCUAUGGGUUGUAAACCUCUUUUGUCGGAGAACAAAACCCGGGACGUGUCCCGGACUGCGUGUAUCCGAAGAAAAAGCAUCGGCUAACUCCGUGCCAGCAGCCGCGGUAAUACGGAGGAUGCGAGCGUUAUCCGGAUUUAUUGGGUUUAAAGGGUGCGUAGGCGGUCCGUUAAGUCAGCGGUAAAAUUGCGGGGCUCAACCCCGUCGAGCCGUUGAAACUGG